rnacentral:misc_RNA from 1 species
UCCGGUUUAUCACCGGCAGUCUCUCCAGAGUGCUCAGCUUUACCUGUUAGCAACAGGAGGCAAGGGUUGCGCUCGUUGCGGGACUUAACCCAACAUCUCACGACACGAGCUGACGACAGCCAUGCAGCACCUCUAUAUGGGUCCCGAAGGAAAACCGUAUCUCUACGGCUGUCCCAUACAGUUCAAACCCCGGUAAGGUUCUUCGCGUUGCGUCGAAUUGAACCACAUGCUCCACCGCUUGUGCGGGCCCCCGUCAAUUCCUUUGAGCUUCAGCCUUGCGACUGUACUCCCCAGGCGGAGUGCUUAAUGCGUUAGCUUCGGCACAGGAGGGUUAAUACCCCCUACACCCAGCACUCAUCGUUUACAGCUAGGACUAC